rnacentral:rRNA from 1 species
UACAGAGGGGGCAAGCGUUGUUCGGAAUUACUGGGCGUAAAGGGCGCGUAGGCGGCCUUCUAAGUCGAACGUGAAAUCCCUGGGCUCAACCCAGGAACUGCGUCCGAUACUGGAAGGCUUGAAUCCGGGAGAGGGAUGCGGAAUUCCAGGUGUAGCGGUGAAAUGCGUAGAUAUCUGGAGGAACACCGGUGGCGAAGGCGGCAUCCUGGACCGGUAUUGACGCUGAGGCGCGAAAGCCAGGGGAGUAAACGGG